rnacentral:rRNA from 1 species
CGACUCUCGGCAACGGAUAUCUCGGCUCACGCAUCGAUGAAGAACGUAGCAAAAUGCGAUACUUGGUGUGAAUUGCAGAAUCCCGUGAACCAUCGAGUUUUUGAACGCAAGUUGCGCCCGAAGCCUUUUGGUCGAGGGCACGUCUGCCUGGGCGUCACACA